CGAUUUAGCUCAGUUGGUAGAGCAACUCCCUCGUAACGAGUAGGUCGAAGGUUCGAGUCCUUUAAUCGGC
rnacentral:tRNA from 2 species